rnacentral:rRNA from 1 species
CAGCCGCCACGGUAAUACGAGGGGGGCAAGCGUUGUUCGGAAUUAUUGGGCGUAAAGGGCGCGUAGGCGGUUUGGCAAGUUUGGUGUGAAAUCUUCGGGCUCAACUCGAAGUCUGCAUCGAAAACUGCCGGGCUUGAGUAUGGGAGAGGUGAGUGGAAUUUCCGGUGUAGCGGUGAAAUGCGUAGAUAUCGGAAGGAACACCUGUGGCGAAAGCGGCUCACUGGACCAUUACUGACGCUGAGGCGCGAAAGCUAGGGGAGCAAACAGGAUUAGAUACCCCGGUAGUCCCUGUCUCUUAUAC